AUUGAACGCUGGCGGCAGGCUUAACACAUGCAAGUCGAGGGGCAGCGAGGGAGUGCUUGCACUUCUGUCGGCGACCGGCGCACGGGUGAGUAACACGUAUGCAACCUGCCCUUGUCAGGGGGAUAAGCGAGGGAAACCUCGUCUAAUACCGCAUAUAUGAUUUAGAGGCAUCUCUUAAUCAGGAAAGAAUUAUCGGACAAGGAUGGGCAUGCGGGACAUUAGGUAGUUGGGGGUGUAACGGACCACCAAGCCGACGAUGUCUAGGGGUUCUGAGAGGAAGGUCCCCCANACUGGUACUGAGACACGGACCAGACUCCUACGGGAGGCAGCAGUGAGGAAUAUUGGUCAAUGGGCAGAGCCUGAACCAGCCAAGUCGCGUGAGGGAAGACGGUACUAAGUAUUGUAAACCUCUUUUGUCAGGGAACAAAGAGACCACGUGUGGUAAGAUGAGUGUACCUGAAGAAAAAGC
rnacentral:rRNA from 1 species